GAAUAUUGCACAAUGGGCGAAAGCCUGAUGCAGCGACGCCGCGUGAGGGAUGACGGCCUUCGGGUUGCAAACCUCUUUCAGCAGGGAAGAAGCGAAAGUGACGGUACCUGCAGAAGAAGCGCCGGCUAACUACGUGCCAGCAGCCGCGGUAAAACGUAGGACGCAAGCGUUAUCCGGAAUUACUGGGCGUAAAGCGCGUGUAGGUGGUUGCAUAAGUCAUCGUUGAAAGCUCCCGGCUAAACUGGGAGAGGUGCGGUGAGACUGUGCGGCUAGAGUAUGGGAGAGGGAUGCAGAAUUCCGGGUGUAGUGGUGAAAUGCGUAGAGAUCCGGAGGAAUACCAGAGGCGAAGGCGGCAUCCUGGCCUAAAACUGACACUGAGACGCGAAAGCAUGGGGAGCGAAC
rnacentral:rRNA from 1 species